UAUAGCUCAAAACACAAUGAUUAGUAAAUUGGAUCACUUACUACCCUUAGAUUUAAAGUACUCACUUCAACUUUCAAUAUCUCCUUUAUUCUAACUUAGAAUCUAUUAGACAAUAUGCCAAAAGUAUAGCCAAUAAAAUUUUCUCUCUAAUCCUAGUCACCAAUCCUUUAUUUCUUUCUAUACGCAUGCGUUAUGUUCAAAUGAAUGGCAAUAAGUACAAAAUCAACACCUUAACUUUGAAUGCACAUAUCUCUUUUAUAUAAACUCCAAAUUACAUAAAAUUUAUACCAAAAUUAUAGCCAAAAAUCUAAAAUUACUGAAUCUAGCCUCCAAAGCUCAAAUGGUCCUAAAAGAAUAACCCUAAUUCCUAAUAAGGCCUCAGAUAGCCUCCUUGAAUUCCAUUGGAUAUGAUUUUUAGCCAAUAGGAAUGGAGAUUUUUAUCAUC
rnacentral:lncRNA from 1 species